rnacentral:lncRNA from 1 species
GAGAAAUAUAUACUUGAAGAAGAUAGUGAUUCAUUGGCAAAUGAAUCAAAUAAGUUUUGAUGUCUUUGGAAAGAGAGAUUCCGCAAUGAAACUGUUUCUGCUGUCAACAGCAAAUGAAGCAACAAUCCAAGCUGAUUAAUCAUAUAGGUAUCUGCUAUAGGUUCUUCAAAUCUAACAACAGGAAAAUCCUCUGUAACCCUCAGAAUAUAUAAUGUAUUUAAAGAAGGAAUCGACCAAACAGAACUGUUGCCACGGGGAGAACUGAAUUGAACCAUAUACAGAAACGGCCAGGAUGGAAUAUCGACUUACAAAUAUCAUCAGGAUAAAGCAAUCUCCAUUACUAUGUUUCAGAAUCAUAUCAUUUACACCAAGUGAACCAGAUUCUAUAUCUUGAAGAAAGAAGAAAUGAAGAGGAAUUGCAAAUAAGAGCAGUCAGCAUAGAGAUACAAAAAACAUGCAGCCAACUUUGAUUCUGCUGCCUCCCAACUGAAUGAUCAAAGGUUAUCGCACCUUAAAACAAAUCUUAGAGUUACCAAGGCAAGUGUUGACAUUUUUUAUGUGAAUUAACAGUUGACAUAAUUUCAAAUUUUCAAUCUAUUUCUAGCUUACCUCAGAAAGUGGAGAAAAGACGUAUACAUAUCUUUGACCACAAGGAUUUCUAUCCGCAGAUGAAGCAGCACUAAGAAAACGGAUUCGUAUAAGAAUGAAGAUCACAUUCCAUCACCCAGAAAACAAUGUAAAGAUAUUGCUUCACCACCACCUUGAAGACCACUUAGACAGCAGGUUCCCAAGGAAUAGAGCAACUCUUAAAAAAUGCUGAUGUCAAGUAGUACCAAGAUAUCAGGAACAAUGGUCUGCCCCAAACCAGAACAAAAACCUAUGAACUUCUGAAGGUUGGAAGAAAUAUAGAAAAAAAAGAUAUGAGAACUACGCCAAGUAGACCAAAAAGUCAAGUUGAACACCAACAAGGAUUAUGUGUCAGUAUGAUAGAAUUAUGAGGUAAUUAUGCAAGUAAUCAUAUAAUUUUUGACAGUAAAUAGUUACAAGGUUAAAAGCAGCAUCUUUCCUCUCCAGUAAACAAAGCCUAGGAGAUAAUGCCGGUGUCCAAAAAUAUAAAGGACCAUGCCUUUAUCCCCUUCUUUUAACUAAUUGAUGACUCGUGUACCUGAGAAGCAAAGCCAGACACAUUGACCAAUAUUACACCAAGUGUAGACCAAAAAAGGUAGAAGGAAAAUUGAAUUACCGGCAUCAAUGCAACAGUAUACAUGAAAAGUCCCAACAAGAUUCAAACCUCCUACAUUUAGUGUGCGUCUGAUGCAGUCACAAGCUGUGAAUUAUUACAGUCCAGCAGCCGAAAGUUAUGAGCGGAUACUUUCCAAUCCAGUAAUUGGGUGACAAACUAAUGGUGCAUGUAUCAUAUAUUUCUGACUGUAAAUAGUCACAAGGUUAAAUGUGGCAUCAUUCUUCUCCAGCAAACAAAGUUUAGGAAAUAGUGCUGGUGUCCAAAAAUAUAAAGGACCAUGACUUUGUCCCCUUCUUUUGACUGGUAAUUGCUCUUGUUCCCCACAAGCAAAGCCAGACACACGAGUAGACCAAAAAGCUAGAUAGAAAAUUGAAUUCACUAGCAUCAAUGCAACAAUAUACACUAAAAGUGAGAACAAGAUUCAAGCCUCCUAUAUUCAGUGUGCAUCUCAUGCAGUCCCAAGUUGUGAGAUUAAACGUCCAGCCACCACGAACGUCACUGAGUGGCUAUUAUCUAACCUAAGUUCAUCUCCGUAAUAUAUCAAAUGGCAAGUUAGAAAGUUCAUCAGUUCUCAGUAGGCUGAAAAAGAAUCCAACUUUACCCUAAAACAUAAGCACCUUGGUGAAAGCAAUACUCGGAAUAGUAAGGGAAGCAAUGCAACCUAACAUGUAAGCAUGUGAACAAACCAGCAAAAUUACUAAUAUCGAGUUACUGAGAGUCAUUCAAAAUAUUCAUUAGAGGAAUUAACAAUUGUAAAAUGUAAUUGACUUUUAACGAAUCUUGAAAAGUGUGCUUCUUAACAUUGCCUCAGAUGGAAAAAUAGUCAUGAAGAAACGCUUCUUAAGAUUCUCACUAAGGAGAAUUGCUCCAAAAGCAAAUAUCAUAGAGCAGAUAAUCAGAACAUCAAGAAAAAGAGAAACAUUUGCACUUGGAAAGGGCUACUAGAAUUCAAGUAAAAGCUUAACAUUCUAAUUAAAACAAUCAAAUUGCGAAAGGUGCCUCUCUUUGGCAAAUAAAUCAAAUUGCUUCUCGUAGUUAGAAAGAGGUUCUGCAAUGGAAUGGUUAUCGCUGUCAACAACAAAUACUAGAAAAAAUGUAAGUAAAAAUUUAUAUUUUUAACUGUAUUAAUUAUGUUUUCUUAAUCUUGUGAAAAUUGGAGCAAGCUCAUCUUUAUAGGAUGGAUGGAGUAUUAAAGGUAGGGAAAUGUUUCUAAAAUAAUUUGCACUAAGUUUACUGUGUUAAAUAAUAUCAUACAUUUAUUUCUUUUUCCUUGAUAUCUUUUGUUCCUCCUUUUUUAUUGUAUGGUAAUAUGAAUUUGUCAAUGGUGUGUGUAGAAAUAUGUUUUUUUUAUUCAACAUUAAUUACGAUAUUUUUUGGUAAUUUCCAGCUAACAAGUCGGUUCUCAGUUCAAGGGGUACAGGUAGUAUGUUACCGGUCUCCUAGUAAAUUAUUUCCUAAUUAGUUACUAUUUUUAAGGAGAUUUGUUAGGUUGUUAGCAUGAUAGCCGUUUUUAUUUUUGCUUCUUGAAAUAUAUUGUUGAUUGCAUAAAAGAUCUCAUGCUAAAUCCCUUGCAACCUUGCCUUGCCAUGAGGUUCGAUUCUCCAUAUGGGGUCGACUCUUGCAAAUGGGUUCGACUUUCCAUAUAGGUUAGGCCUCUUCAAGGGUUUGGCCAUACUACCUCUUGGGCAGAAUGCUGGUCCAAUUUCACCUACCACAUAGGAUUUCUAGAGUCUCGUCAAUCGAGGCGUAAUAUAUAUAAUAGAAAAAGGGAAAGGAAACAUGGAAAUCUAAACCAUGUCAUUGAAGAAGAUUGCUUUAUUGUUUACUGAUGGCUCCAAAUAAAAACAUUGUGUUGUACCUUCAAUUUCCAGAUGUUAGAAUUCUGGGAGGAUAUAUUAGAUUUAUAAAUUUCCAUAUUUUCUUCAAAGUUCCGUAUUUGAUAUCUUAAGUAAAGGUCUCAGAUCUAUUGCAGCUCCUUAAAUGAUCAAUCUAGUGAUGAAUUAUACCUGAACUUGAAUAUGGCCUCUUCUCAAUUCUUCACCCAACUUUUGCCUUCUGAGGUCAAUGUAAUGGAUGGGAUGGCUAUUGAGGAUAAAGAAAUGUGUUUCUUGAUCCUUUGGUCGUCCAUCUGUUAGUCAUUCCAAGAUUGUGUGAUGCUUUUGCAAAUCACUUCAUCAUGCAAAGUGACUUGGUAACAAAUUGCAUUUUGUAACUUCACAAUGUGGUGGUGGGAGGCCGCAGGAUGAUAACUCAUAAAGAUAUCUUACUAAGCAGCUGCAACAAUUCAUAACUAACAUAAAUUCCUUUCCAUAAUAUAUCAAAUAUAAUGACCGAAGCUUGAAUCUUGUAGGGGCUUUUGGUUUAUUAUUGCACUGGCCAUUGAAUUUAUUUUUUCCUCUACUAGUACAUCGAAUUAGAAAGUGUGAACUUCAUUUGCAACUUGUCCUUGUCUCAAUAAGAAUCAGUUUGUAAAACCACCACACGAAAUUUAUCCAAGACUCCAAGAUCAAUCUAAAGGCUUACAUUCUUCAUAUUUGCUUUUCAAUUUCAACAUCUUGACAUCAACAUUACUAGUAAAAGGCUUAAUCUCCUCAUUUAGGGCAAGUUCACUCGUCAUUUUAAGAGUUAUGUACUGAAUUGAGGAGUUGAGCAAAUUCACUUUUCCCUCUUUGAUUUAUAGGUGUAGACGGGUGUUGUUAAAAACGAUAAAGAAAAGAAGUGUUGGAUUUUGCUGUAACUUUUGUUCUUGCUCUUGUUCUUGAUCCUUUCCAGAAAUUUUCGACCAUUACAAGUUGUCAAACUUUAUACUAACUAGUCCUGCAUUAUGGUCAGUAUUUUAAAAGAUAGGAAAAGGCAGGACGUAGGUUUGGUUGCUUCAAAAAUUCUUCCUCCUUUGGCUCUAGGGAACCGAUCCUGCUCGAUCAUCAUCCACAGUCAAUUCACCUGAGGACUCCAUUGCCACACAGGUUUCAAUGGUUUUCGACAGAAACUCGUUUAGACAAGCUCUCAUUCGCUCUAAAAAUGAUAUCAAUGGUGCUAUGAACAUUCUACUCGAGUCACAGAUGAAAUAAGGGGUCGUAAAUUUGCUUUGCAAGAUGAAACCUCCACUGGAAUUUGAGAUUUAAACUCGCUAAUAGGUUGAGAUAGUCAGCAAUCUAAACUCCAAACUCUUCCCAAAAAAACUCCAAACUCCUCCUACGAAAACUCCGAACUCAUCCAACAAAAAAGGACAAUGAUCUUGAUUGGGCAUUAGUAUCUAACAACUCGUACUUACUAAUUUUAAAUCCAUUUUACCUUCCUUUACAGCCAUCAACUUUGUCGUUGUUUCAGCAUCCUAAUCCUCCCAACGACAGUUUUGAACAUGUUGAUAUGAAUGAUAUUUUUAUUGUUGAUUAUUUAGAAAUAGAUGAUCCAAACCCUCCCCACGAAAACCUAGCAAACCCUCUGGAUCUUGACUUUUUUGAUGGGAUUUUGUAAAUUCCUCAAAACUAACCACUAGCGCUAUAUGUUCGUCCUGAAAUUCUUUUGGUAGAUUUACUGGCAAGGAGGCUCAGAAAUGAGCCAAUGAAUGAAAUCUGAAUCAACCGUAGAAAUUUCUACAAACAUUCUCCAACCACUUUGGCAGGUAAUACUUUUCUAUGCGUGAUUUAGGUAAAUUUUCAAUGUGUGGUUAGUUUGUUAAAAUUUUAAGCUCACCAACAUUCUUAGAAUAUAUAAGUUUUAUUUUUCUUUUAUAUAUAUUAAUAUUUUAUUUGCUGGUAUUAGUUUUCAAACAAAUCAUAGCACUUUCUAUUUUAUUACCCCAAUAGCGAGGUAUAGCCAAAAUAGAAUUAAUUGAACCAUUGAAGAGGUGGUAGUUGGUCUUACUCUGAUGGACGGGUGAAACAAAUCAUAGAUAAAGGACUUUGAGUCAAAAGUAAGAGGUUAUACCACUAUAAACCUUUCCCUGUCGAUGCCAAUGCCAAUAGAUGUCUCAUGAAAGAAUACACUGUCUACCACCACACGAGGUUCUCGACGUUAAUUUAGAGUAAAUAGUUUUUAUAUGUUAGAUUUUUUUUUGUCUAUUGAUUUUUUGAUCUUUUUUCAGAUGAACAACUUCGUUGUGAUAAAGAUACACAGGCCAUGAUAGUUUGGAUGUCGCCAUUCGAGAGAUAUUGUAGGGGGUGUCUUUAGGAUUAUGUUUUCAAAUACAAUGAAUUCUUAGAUUAACGAUGUAUUUUUGUCAAAUGUCAUGGUCACAUUGGCGAACAUAACACGGAGAAUUGAUAUUAUCGUAGGGGUCACACUUAAACUAUUACGAAGUAAUAAUAUUGCGAUUUGUAGUAAUCUCUCUUUAGCUCGCCAUUAGCUUUAGUCACUGAGAUUAUACAUUUGGUUAUUUUGAGAUAAUAUUGAAAUUCAAUAUGUUUUGAUGGGAUCUUGGGUCAAACUUGAACCAUAAAUAAUCACGAUAUUUAUAUGCAUGCUUAACAUGGGAUCGCAGGUGGACGAAGAUUGAUGAAAUAUUAGGAAAAUAUAGUUGCGUCUCAUUUAUGGUAUACUUUGAAAUAAAAACGUAUUGGUCAUUUCAAGCAGAUCAAUUUUUUCGGUUGGACCUGGACCCAAGAUCCCAUCAAAACAUAUAAAAUUGCAAUAUUAGCCCAAAAUAACUAAAUGUAUAAUCUCGAUGAUUGAAGUUAUUAGUGCGCUAAAGAGAGAUAACUACAAAUUGUAAUAUUACCACUUUGUAAUAUUUUAAAUGUGACCCCUAUGAUAAUUGUCAAUCAAUCUUUUCCAUUAUGACUACGAUAUUUUGAAAAAAAUACACCAUUAACUUAAAAAUUCGUUGUACUUGAAAACACAAUCAUGAAGCCGCCCCCGCAAUCAUUCCCAAAUGGUGACAUCUGAGUUAUUGCAACCUGCGUAUCUUCAUCAUGGCAAAGUUGUUCUUCUACAAAUGGAACCAAAAAUUAAUAGACACAAAGGGAAAAAAAAUCUAAUAUAUAAAAGCUAUAUACUCCAAAUAAGUGUCGAGAACCUCGUGCGGUGGGUAGAUGGUGUAUUCUUUCGUGAGCAUCCAUUGGCAUUGGCAUCAAUAGGGGGAGGUUUAUAGUGGUAUAACCUCCAACUUCUAGCUUGAAGUCCUCUAUCCAUGAUUUGUUUCACCCGUCCACCAGAGUGAGCCCAACUACCACCCUCUUUUAUGGAUCAAUUAGUUCUAUUUAGACUAUACCUCGUUAUUGGGGCAAUAAAAUAGAAAAUGCUAUGAUUUAUUUGAAAACAAAUACCUACAAAUAAAAUAUAUAUAAAUGAAAAAUAUGACUUACAAAAUUGACAACACAUUGACUUGAAAUUAACCUAAAUCAUGAAUAAUGGUAUUACCUGUCAAAGUGGUUGGAAAAUGUUGAUAGAAAUUUCUAUGGUUGAUCCAGAUUUCAUUUAUCGGCUCAUUUCUGAGCCUCCUUCCCAGUGAAUCUAUCAAAGGGUUUCAGGAGGAACAUAUAACACUAGUAGUUCGUUUUGAGGAAUUUGCAAAACCCCAUCGAAAAAGUCGGGAUUCAAAGGGUUUUUUAGGUUUUCAUGGAGAGUGUUAGGAUAAUUUAUAACUAGGUAAUGAGCAAUUUGAAAAAUAUUAUCCAUAUCAACGUCCAAAAUCAUCGUUAGGAGGGUUAGGAUGCUGAAACAAGUGCUAUUUGAUUUUUCCAGUAAUCCAAUGGGAACUUAUCAUUGAACACAAAUGCUAUUUGAUUUUGCACCUUGAUGUAAAUCCAUCUAGUGCUCCACAAAGUAUCAUCACCAGAGAAACCCCAAUUAACGUGGAAAACUCGAUACUUAAUCAAUUCCUAAUGAAUAAUAUCUAAACAUUUAUCUCAUUGCAAGAUAUCACAUCUAACUGAUACUUCAUACUCCUACCAACGAAUGUCAAAGUUCCCGAGAAAGUAGAAUAAUGCCCAAAAAUACUAUCAGACUCAAAUCGUCAGCUGUCGGAGUGAGAUAUGAGGCACUUUAUAGUUAAGUGCAAUAAUUAAGUUAGACAUGGUAUGAACUAAUUUGUUCAAUUCUUCAAAUAAAAUGCUCCCUGCCUAAUCCACAUUGCUUUCAAGCUUUAGGAGAAAUAAUUUAAUUGAGUAACAGCUUAAUGCAAUAAAAAUUGCAUACCGAAUGCCUUCAGCCACCUCGUAAUUAUAAUAUGCUUUUCGGUCACUGCCACUGUCAUAUAAUUAUUGGUCUGAAUGCGCUUCGGAUAGUGUGCCUUACAGAGGAACUCUAGUUUCUUUUGCUUGGUUUCGACAAUUCUCAAAGAUCCAUGGAGCUCGUACGUCAGAGCAAUAGUAAGCAUAUAUCAUCGCAAUUGCUUAUCGUGCAGCGAACCGCUUACAAGGUCCCAGGUUGAAAGCCUCUUUUCUCUUCGGUAAAGAACGCUUGGGACUUGACGUUGAUGUCCAGGGUGAACACCCAGGACGAUGAUUUUGUCCCUUUUUCUAAUGCAGAGUAAUUAAACCUUUGCAUAAGAUCAGGUUAAUGAGGCCCGCCAUCUACUUGCUGUUGGUUACAGUUAUUACAAGCCAACAAGAAGGGCAUUUCAAAGGUUUUAAUCCAUUAGAAAUAAGCUUUGUCACCACUUUAUUCACUUAUAUUAAACCAAGGUAGAAAAGGAAAAUAUGAAUACAGUAGGGGUUAAUGCAAUAAUAAAUACCAGAAGCACCAGUAAAAUUCAAGUCUCCUACAGCUAGUAUCAUCUGAUGCAGGCCACCAGAUAUGAAUUAGAUCAGCUUAGAGCUGGACGCCAGCUGCCCCACUGAGUGGCAUGAAUAAUUCAAAGCUAACAGAAAGUUGAUCAGUUAUCAUUAGGCUGCUGAAGAAUCCAACAUUACCUGAAAACAGACACACCUUGGUGAAGCAGUACUCGUAAGGCAGAAAAAAAAAAAUGUAAGCAUGAGUAGAUAGCCACCAAUUUCUUCACAAGCAAGCCAAGACUGAUUUUCUUCUAUGUUGAGAAUGCAGUCACAAAGAUGAAUUAACUACUGGGUAAUUCCCAAUGUCACUCUAUUUGGUCACCAUUUUUUUAGGUCCCACCCUCGCCUUCAUGUGCCCAGUGAAGUUAAGGAAUGAGGAGUUAAUGCCUGCCAUCCUUCUAUUUUUGCGAAUUGGGCGGGUUCACCACAAAAACCUUUCAGACCUUGUUAGAAGAAACAUGGAUUCCUAAAUUGACAAAUCCAUUUUUAAGUAGAGUUGUCUACCUUUAUUGACUUUCUUGAAAUCUAACUAGUGAUAACUGUGGCCACGGGGAAUACUGAAUUGAUCCAUAUACAUAACAAGCCAAGAAAAAAUUUCAACUCUCAAAUAUCACCAAAAUGAAGCAAUCUCCAUUACUGAGCUUCAGAAGCAUAUUGUUUACGCCAACUUAACUUGAUUCUAUAUCUUGAAGAAAGGAGAAAUGAAGAGCAAUUGCAGAGUUUGAUCCUGCAACCUCCCAACACCAUAAUCACAGAUCUGACUGUUCCUAAAACCCACUCAUCGAUCAAUAAUUGGCCUUAUCAUGAUAUUCUACGAGCAUAACAAGUCAAUAUAAUAAAUCUUUAAUGUCCAGAUUGAAGGAUAGCAA